GCAGGGGAAUCGCUUCACAAGUGGUAAAGCAGGUCUGCAGGUGUCUUUCUCUCCCCCUCUCUGUCUUCCCCUCCUCUCUCCAUUUCUCUCUGUCCUAUUUAACAGCAAUGACAUCAAUAACAACAAUAAUAACUACAACAACAAUAAAACAAAGUCAACAAAAGGGGAAAUAAAUAAAAUAUAAAAAAAAAGAAAAGAAAAUGCAAAGGCUGUGACAUUCUGUCACUCGCAGACACAGAGCCAGCUGAGUAAAUCCCCAGUGAGCAUUCUUAGAACUGCACCCAAAUUAGGACAAGGCUUUUGGUAGCUAGAGCUUGUGCUUACGUUGUUUUUCAUUGUCAGACUCCUCCAGUGAGAGGUUCAAGGACGGCCUAAGCAGAGCAGCCCAAUCAACUUCGUGGGGUUUAUCUCUGAGAUUAAAGCAAGCACUCACACGCUUAAUACCUUGAAUAAUGUCUGACUUCUGUCUGAGUGCCUUAACAGGAAAGAGAGAAACCGCUCCUGUGUGAUGCGCUGACACCUGUCUGGGGAAAGAUGGAGCUGUGUUCCUGUACAGAGAUCCUGGAGACCAGCGUGCCCUCAGUAAAGACUUUGCUGCAUCUUUGCUGUUCCAGAUGCCUGUUUGCAGGAGGUGAGCUUGCACAGAAUGAAGAUCGUCACUGGGCGCACUCUGUGGAAUCUAGCAGGCCUCGGUAGCAAACCUCGCCAGUGAAGGAAGCCAUGGAGGUCGCGCCUGACAGGCAGUCAGGAGAAAACUGAGGCUUAAACAGACACUCCUUGCUCCAAAGUCUCCCCAGGAGGAAGGGACAGGACAAAGGACAAGCCUCUCCCUGAGAUGGCAGGCUGGCAGGACUUGCUGGGCCCAAUCUAGAGUCUACCAAGAAGCUUCUGCACAGCAAAAGAAACCACUACCCAAACCAAGAGACCCUCACAGAAUGGGAGAAGAUCUUUACAUGCCAUACAUCAGACUAGAGGCUAAUGACCAGAAUAGAUAAAGAGCUUGCCAAACUCAACAACAAGACAACAAAUAACCCCAUCCAAAAAUGGGGGGAGGACAUGGACAGAACAUUCACCACAGAAGAGAUCCAAAAGGCCGAGAAACACAUGAAAAAAUGCUCCAAGUCUCUGACUGUCAGAGAAAUGCAAAUAAAGACAACAAUGAGAUACCACUUCACUCCUGUGAGAAUGUCAUACAUCAGAAAAGGUAACAGUAGCAAAUGCUGGAGAGGGUGUGGGGUCAAAGGAACCCUCCUGCACUGCUGGUGGGAAUGUCAAUUGGUCCAACCUCUGUGGAGAGCAGCCUGGAGAACUCUCAGAAGGCUAGAAACGGACCUCCCCUAUGAUCCUGCAAUUCCUCUCCUGGGGAUAUAUCUUAAGGAACUCAACACACCCAUCCAAAAAGAUCUGUGUACACAUAUGUUCUUAGCAGCACAAUUUGUAAUAGCUAAAACCUGGAAGCAACCCAGGUGUCCAACAACAGAUGAGUGGCUGAGCAAGUUAUGGUAUAUGUACACAGUGGACUACUACUCAGCUAUGAAAAAUGGUGACUUCACCGUUUUCAGCUGACCUUGGAUGGAGCUUGAAAAAUUCAUGUUAAGUGAAAUAAUAAGUCAGAAACAGGGCAGGGGUAGAUAGCAUAAUGAUUAUGCAAAGAGACUCUCAUGCCUGAGGCUCCAAAGUUCCAGGUUCAAUCCCCUACACCACCAUAAGCCAGAGCUGAGCAGUGCUCUGGUAAAAAAAAAAAAAAAAAAAAUUGAAAAAAAAAAAGAAGAAGAAAUAAGUCAGAAACAGAAGGAUGAAUAUGGGAUGGUCUCACUCUCAGGCAGAAGUUGAAAAACAACAUCAGAAGAGAAAACACAAGUAGAACCUGAACUGGA